UUAAAAGCUAUGAUAGGGACAAGUAGAUAUAAAGUAAUCUUAGAAGAGAGUGGGGAUUGGUGAAAGCCCAUAGAUGAUCUUUUAUAUUGAAUAUCACCCUGGAGCUGCAAGCUGAAAUAGAGUAAGCUGAGCCGGCAUUGCCGUUAAAAAUAUGAGUAAAAAAUUGAGUGGUACCGCGUAUAAGACUUUUCGCCUCAUGG
rnacentral:ncRNA from 1 species